CUGAAAGAGGGAAAGAAGGAGAGAGGAGUGGGAGCGGCCACCUCUGGCUGUUCCACUGGGCUGGUUUGAAUUAGGAACCCCCGCUGGGAUCCAAGCCUGUACUUCCUGUCGGGGGGUUUCAGCUCGUGUGUGAGUGCGAGGGGUGGAGGAAAGUGGAACGAAAGGGAGGGAGGGGUGGGCAGAGAGUGAGAGGCGGAGGCCCGUCACUUGCCGGCAGCUGCCCGUCCGUUUGUGGGGACUCUCCCUACAAUGAAGUCCAGGUGCAUAAAAAAAUACAUAUUUGCCGCCUACUUCUUUCCUCUGUGACCUUGCUGAGGGCUAUAUUCUGCUUGGAGCGUGUCCGAGUGUAAAGCUGUAAAAGCAAGGUUGCAGCUGCCUGUGACCUGUGGACGACCCCUAGAGGACGAGACACACUGCAGCUAAAGAAAGAUCAGGCCGAAGGAGAGAGUGCCAAGCUAUCUGAACACCAGGCUGUAACAGAACACAGCCCCCUAGAGGCCAAGACAUCACAGCCAAUCUUAAUGCGAGUGACUAUGUGGGACUCCUACCUUUGAUUUUGAGAUGUCCGUCAUCUUUGUCUGAUUCGCUGUCAGACUGAUUCGUGAACUCCUUCUUGUCCUCCACCUUCUUAUCCUGAAGCUUCCUACGUUUGAUGUUAGGGAGCUCCAGAUCCUCCAUCUGCACAGAACACAAAGCAGCAGGAAUUUGCAAGAGCAAACGCAGCAUCUGAAGUGAUCUUCUACAUGUGGCUUUCCACUGCAAUGAAUUGACCAGGAGAACGAGAUGGACAGACGAGACAGUGACGAGAGUCAGAAGAUGUGGAACAGACAGAUUGAAGGUGCCUGAAAGGGGAGACCAGCAGAUCUUCUCCGGCCCCUAAAGGUCUUUGUGGAUGAUAUUGAUUAGGCCCAAUCACAUUAUCUGACCAACAAAUCCAAUAGAGCAAACAGACCGUGGGCUCCCGUGCCCGGUAGCUUAACACAUUUACCACAAUUUGCCGUGCGGCUACUAAGAUGGGUGACAAGCGGGCACAAAAAUAAAAAAAUAAAAAAAGACAGGACUAGAAAAGCUUCUUGAAUUCAGCCUCGAGUCAGACAAACAAAACAUUUGCAACAACAGGCAGCAGAGAAGGACAAGAGACGUCAGAGUGCGACCUGGAUGGAGGCAGGGCAUCAUUAAUUAGGCUAGCUCUCAGUUUGGGUGACAUGUCAGCGGGGGGCUGGUGGCCAGAGGGGGGCCAUGGCCUUUUCCACAGCAGCAGCAAGGCUGUCCUCUCUCCUCCGCCCGCGGUGACACCUACCGCUGCCACGAUGCCAGAGAGUGGAUGCCAUGGCGACAGCCUCCGCUGAGCAGAGAGCUGUGGCGACAGGAGCUGGCGCUGCCGUGGUGCCGUGCUGUCUGUCUGUUGUACUUUGUUAACACACACACACACACACACACACACACAAAACACGCACUUUUCCAUGUGUGUACGCAGACACAUUUCUCAUCAGCUAAAUUACACACAGACCAUCCUCUUUAAUUUCAUCCUUAAACGCUCUGAAAUAUUUAUCAGCAGUACAUGUCAAGACUCUUAGCAGCAGCGAAGCCACAUUAAAGCAUGUUUGUGUGGACAGGUAGCAUACAGAGGGAGUAAGUCAACACAGAAAACACACUAAUGGCUGCUCAUUAAGGGAGAGGCGCCUCUGGUUCAAAAGCCCAUAAGAGCUUCCAAUAACCACAGGGUCAUUCUUAACCAGGCUAAGAGUUUAUGCAGGGAAGUGGCCUCCAUUAUCAGCCGCUGACUGUCGGGCUCGACAGGCAGGACUGCAGCCUCUGGUUCAACUGCACAAGAGCCCAAAACAGAUAAGUUAUCUUUGCCGUGCAAACACACGGCUUUCUUUUUCAGGAUUCUUGAAAACAUUCAGAUAAGACACCACCUACGAGUUAGUGUUGAGUAAAAGCAGAAAGUGAAUCAGAUGUGACUAAUCUGAAACAUGGAAAUAAAAAAUGUACAUCCUGUAUUGUGUAAGAGUUAUAUUUAGAGAAACAUUGAG